AUGCUUAACACAUGCAAGUCGAACGAGAAAGUGGAGCAAUCCAUGAGUAAAGUGGCGACCGGGUGAGUAACACGUGACUAACCUACCUUCGAGUGGGGGAUAACCUCGGGAAACCGAGGCUAAUACCGCAUAACAUCGCAAGAUCAAAGCAGCAAUGCGCUGGAAGAGGGGGUCGCGGCUGAUUAGCUAGUUGGCGGGGUAACGGCCCACCAAGGCGAAGAUCGGUAGCCGGCCUGAGAGGGCGCACGGCCACACUGGAACUGAAACACGGUCCAGACUCCUACGGGAGGCAGCAGUGAGGAAUAUUGCGCAAUGGGCGAAAGCCUGACGCAGCGACGCCGCGUGCGGGAUGAAGGCCUUCGGGUUGUAAACCGCUUUCAGCAGGGACGAAGCGAAAGUGACGGUACCUGCAGAAGAAGCGCCGGCUAACUACGUGCCAGCAGCCGCGGUAACACGUAGGGCGCGAGCGUUGUCCGGAAUUAUUGGGCGUAAAGAGCUCGUAGGUGGUCCGCUACGUCUGCUGUGAAAAUCCAGGGCUUAACCCUGGACUUGCAGUGGAUACGGGCGGACUAGAGGUAGGUAGGGGAGAAUGGAAUUCCCGGUGUAGCGGUGAAAUGCGCAGAUAUCGGAAGGAACACCAGUGG
rnacentral:rRNA from 1 species